rnacentral:rRNA from 1 species
CGGACGGGUGAGUAAUGUCUGGGAAACUGCCUGAUGGAGGGGGGUAACUACUGGAAACGGUAGCUAAUACCGCAUAACGUCGCAAGACCAAAGAGGGGGACCUUAGGGCCUCUUGCCAUCGGAUGUGCCCAGAUGGGAUUAGCUAGUAGGUGGGGUAACGGCUCACCUAGGCGACGACCCCUAGCUGGUCUGAGAGGAUGACCAGCCACACUGGAACUGAGACACGGUCCAG